rnacentral:lncRNA from 1 species
GAUGCCGCGGCUUCGUCUGCUUCUCAAACUCGCCUUCGUGGCGCUACCGCGCCACUUGAUAGUUAUCUGAUAGCUUCUCGUCUCCUUGACAGUAUAAGAGCACACGCUUAUCAGCCCGACAUCGACACUCUUUACUCUCCAAUAUAACAGUAUAUUGUAUAUUCUGCAGUCGGUGCAUUCGCCCGCAGGGCUACGCACUUGCUUGCACGCGAUAAAUAAUGCUUGAAGUGCAUCUUCUUUUCGGCUUAUGAUUCGGAGAAUGUACGCGCGAGAAAGAAACAUCGUCUCAACGCUUCUACGCAUGCGUCCCAAAGGUUCAACAAUGUAUAUCGGGUGUCUUGAUCAAACGCGAGCUGGUCGGUCUUUCACAACACUCGCUUUAUCGCUGUUAUCGCGACAGAUUUUUACGCAUUUUGUUGAAUCUAAAAUUUACUUUUGUUCUGCGUGUAAUAUUGAUUUAGUUCGCAAUAUAUCAUAUCUCUAUGUUUGCACUGGAAUUUUUUUGAGAUUCGAAAUUUUUAUUUUUGAGGCGGAUAUGAGUCUGAUGGCCAUUUCUGCAAUACGAGAGACUUUCUGUGUUAAUAUUUUUGUGUAGCGCAGCGAUAAAGAGUGUACUCUCUGAGUCAGCGACGUUUAAAGCACUGAACCCGUAAUUUCACUCAAUUUAAAGUUGAUAAGUUAUUUAUAUAACUUAAUAAGCAAUUAACUUAUCAAAAUCGUCGUUGCCAUAAUUACAAUAUCAAAUCAUUAUUUUACUAUUUCCAACAAAUCAGAAAAUCAAUACCGCCUUAUGUACCGUAGUUUACAUUUUAAGUACGUGUUAAGAACAAUAAUGUGCUUGCACACUGCAUCAAAAAUGUUUUUAAGCAAAAGUUAAGGAAAAGGGCUUAAUAAGUUUUUGCUAUCAUCAAGUUAUUAGAUCUAGACAUAGAUAGAUAUAGACAAGCUGUUAUCAAGCUGCGAGGAAAAAAUUUGAUUUAUUAUGCAUACAUGAUUAUAGUCAAGUUCUCUCGACUGAUUUUGUAAUUUUUGACAAAUCUUUAAUUACUCCACGCAACAAAAGGGCUUAAAAGAUGCCGGAUCGAGUAUCCCAAAAAAUAGUUUCGCUCUAUUUGCCAAGUCACUGCGGUUAACUCUUUAACAGACGCUUUCUGUGUUAUCUCCGGAGUCCUCUUUUGUGCGCCGGCACAAGAUUCGCGGUUUUAUACGAGACAACCCUAUACACGCUCGUCUUCCCUCAUCUCGACCGCCGCCGUCUGGCGUGUGGAGGUGCGGUAUACACGCCACGAUUCGAAAUCUCUUCGGUACAUACAGGUAUAAAUACAUACAUACAUACAUAUAUACAUAACACCGCGGCUGAGUGGGAAUCCGCUGCGGAGCUUUGCCGAAAUACGGCGAUAUUCUCACGUCUGCGUACUGCCGCCAGUUGCUAUAUAUAUACACACAGUCGCGGAAGCUUCGAAUGCCGUGCGAUGUUGUGUGUGGCCUCGGGAGUCGAUGGAUCGCGCACACCAGAUUCUGCCUCGAAGAGCUGGAUUGAAAUUGAUACGAGCGUUAUUCUUGUAUAUUUUUUAUCAACUGUUUGCAACCAUGUGCUGCCUUUACGUUUAUUGAGAGACUGGUCUGUUUGAUGUGUGUUAGAAAAAGGGGCACGUAUAAGUUAAACCUUUGGCUACGAAGAAAUUCCUGUGUAUUGUACGCGGAAUCGUGAAUAAUACUUUGUGGUCUCGUGCGUAUUAUCCUAACCAAACCGCAACCACUUUGAAGAUUUAAAGUAGAGUAAAACAGUGCACCCGGAGGAUUACGCGGCAGACGGAUGUAUUUUCAGAUCAUAGACGUUUCAGAAUUCCUGCUUUUAGGGAAGGCAGAGUCAAGGACCCCCGACUGUAUCUAUACAUCCGCGAAUAUAGUGCACACUCUCGUGAUCAAUAUGAAGCCCGAUGCGCGGCGGAGACGCACGAAGAGUCCUGUGCCGACGCGCCGACGAAACUAGUUGCUCUUCAGCCACAUGCAACAUGGCAACAUCAAACUCGUUACCCCUUAUUAGCUCGGCUUCUAUUACGUGCGGCUAUUGUCCAAAUCUCGAUACAUCCGAAUAUUAGAUGAUCCAAAUAACCUAUUGAAUACUUAUUACAAAAUUCCUUUUCAUAUUUCGCAUAUUUAGCGGAAAAUUGUACAAAAAUAAAACAACCAUAAUAGUGGCGGUGUUGGUAAAAUAAAAAAAAAUGCGAACAAAAAGCAAAAAUUAACAGCUUAAUUUUUGCUUUCUCAAAAUAAUGAUUUUUAAAUAGGUAUUCAACUUUUUUGUGAAGCUUUAUAAAAUGAGAUUUUUUCGGUACAUGAUUUUCUAGUACGUUUUAGAUAAUGCUUCGUAGAGCUUUAGAUAAUGCUUCGUAGAAACAAAGAACUUAUUAAAGUUUUAUUAAAAUAUAGUGUAUAAAACUAGUAAACGUAUUUCUAGGUAUUUUGAAAAAUAACACACGUCGACCGAUCGUUUUUUAAAACAGUUAUAUGUAAGUAUGAAAAUGUACGUGCGCUGAAUGUAUAUGUAUAAAUAUACGUUUUUGUUUCAUAGCGAUUUUCAAAAGUGAUAGUACACAUUUUGUGAUACUAGGAAGAAUAUAAAAGAUAAGAGAUAUUAUAAUAAGAGAAAUACAAUAGUGGAAGGAUAUACGUGUGUCAGUGCAGGCAAUAGUCUAAUUAUCAUGUCUUAUUUUCAAAAAAUGGUAAACAACUGUACUGUGUGACAGAGAGGUACACAAGUUUAAUUUCUGUGAAUUAUUUGAAAAUUGUUAGAAAGUAUUUUAAAGUUCAUAGCGUUGAACAAUAAUAAAUAUAUCUAAACUUGUUAUUAUUUAA